UAGGGAAUCUUCCACAAUGGACGCAAGUCUGAUGGAGCAACGCCGCGUGAGUGAAGAAGGGUUUCGGCUCGUAAAGCUCUGUUAGUUAAAGAAGAACGUGGGUAAGAGUAACUGUUUACCCAGUGACGGUAUUUAACCAGAAAGCCACGGCUAACUACGUGUCAG
rnacentral:rRNA from 1 species